rnacentral:tRNA from 1 species
AUGGGUAUGCUGAAAAUUGGUAGCCAGGUUCUUUUUAGGUAAGAGUAGUAAUAACUGUGCAAGUUCAAGUCUUGUUACCCAUA